rnacentral:tRNA from 1 species
GCAGGGGUAUCCGAGCGGUCAAAGGAGCAGGGCUUAGGACCCUGUGGCAGAGGCCUUCGUGGGUUCGAAUUGACAUAAUUUUCA